UACGAAGGGGGCGAGCGUUGUUCGGAAUUACUGGGCGUAAAGGGCGCGCAGGCGGCUCUGAAAGUCAGAUGUGAAAGCCCCGGGCUUAACCUGGGAACUGCAUUUGAUACUACUGAGCUUGAGUACGGGAGAGGAUAGUGGAAUUCCCAGUGUAGAGGUGAAAUUCGUAGAUAUUGGGAAGAACACCGGUGGCGAAGGCGGCUAUCUGGACCGUAACUGACGCUGAGUCGCGAAAGCGUGGGGAGCAAACAGG
rnacentral:rRNA from 1 species